GGAGCUUAGCUCAGUGGCAGAGCAUAUGACUGCAGAUCAAGAGGUCACCAAUUCAAAUCUGGGUGCUCCC
rnacentral:tRNA from 1 species